rnacentral:tRNA from 1 species
CAAGAAGGAUGCUAACAAGCACUAUGGUUUCGACCCAUAAACAGAAUUAAUUAUAUUCCCUUCUUUU